ensembl:lncRNA GACAT2 gastric cancer associated transcript 2
GGGUUUGGUUGGCUGCUCAUUAAGACUUAACAGAUACACAGAUUGAUGCCACUGGAGUUGUUUACUAACCUGAAGAUCACAAUAAAUAAAACAGUUGGUGUCAAUACAACUCCCCUUAUUUUCUCUCAAGUCACCUGGAUCGUCCUGACCCCGGGAACCCCGUCUGCAGCACCAGGCCCCCUCCGUGGAGAAAAGAUGGAGCCGGAUUAAGCACCCAGUGCUAAGGCGACUAAGACGCCACUGCCCGCAGGCCCUGCCGGAAAAUACUCAGAGAGUGCAGCAGGCGCCGCGAUUCCUUAGAAAGUGCUGGCGUGGCCUCUCCUGACACAGAAAGCCGGCUCCUGGAUGCUUACAAAGGACUGGCCCGCGCAACACCGUUGCUCCUCAACCCGGGCCACACUCCAAGGACCUCUACUGAGCUUCAGCUUGCUCACCGAAAACGGCGCGGCCCCCUCUACCCGGGAUGUCGGAGCCCAGGAGACCCUGAGAGCCCCCAGCUCUUUCCGUAAUUGCAGGAGAAGGGGCAAGCGGGUCCGUAGCCGGGGGCCCUCCAGUGGCAUUAUCCUGAACCGCCACGCCCGCACGUGGCCCGGCUAGAGCUCCCUGGCGAAGGAUCACCUGUUCCUACAGUGACAACUGGACCUGGCCCGAACCCCUGGCAUCUGGCAACAUUAUUACCUGUCGAAACAGAAGUAGAGAUUUGAAAUAGAGGAUGCCUGUUCCCAUUUCCUCCUGCUGUCUGGAAGGAAGUCUGGCUUUCCAGCCCAACUCUAAGCUCAUCUUUACAUACAAAAUAAGGGUAUGUUUACAUGGAAAGCAAAAAUAGAACCAUGGAUUUACAGAAGGUUCCAUAGCAGCAAAUAACAGUGCUUAUGAAAUAAACAUUUUAAAUAUUA